UAGAAUAAAAACUGUUGCCAUCUAUGUACC
rnacentral:piRNA from 1 species